rnacentral:rRNA from 1 species
CAAUAGCGUAUAUUAAAGUUGUUGCAGUUAAAAAGCUCGUAGUUGGAUUUCUGGUUGAAGCGACCGGUCGGGCGUUGAUUCGUCUGCACUGGAGGCGGUUUUGGCCAUCCUCUAGGAAAGUGCGUCUGGUAUUAAGUUAUCGGGCGUAUGAUCCUGGUCUUUUACUGUGAAAAAAUUAGAGUGUUUAAAGCAGGCCUUCGCCUUGAAUACAUUAGCAUGGAAUAAUAAGAUAGGACUUUGGUCUAUUUUGUUGGUUUGCAGACCGAAGUAAUGAUUAAUAGGGAUAGUUGGGGGUAUUUAUAUUCCGAUGUCAGAGGUGAAAUUCUUAGAUUUUCGGAAGAUAAACUUAUGCGAAAGCAUUUACCAAGGAUGUUUNCAUUA